CACGUAGGGUGCGAGCGUUGUCCGGAAUUAUUGGGCGUAAAGAGCUCGUAGGCGGUUUGUUGCGUCUAUCGUGAAAACCUGCAGCUUAACUGUGGGCUUGCGGUGGAUACGGGCAGACUUGAGUUCGGUAGGGGAGACUGGAAUUCCUGGUGUAGCGGUGAAAUGCGCAGAUAUCAGGAGGAACACCGGUGGCGAAGGCGGGUCUCUGGGCCGAAACUGACGCUGAGGAGCGAAAGCGUGGGGAGCGAACAGG
rnacentral:rRNA from 1 species